UGAGCAAUCUGCCCUUCUCUUCGGAAUAAGCGUUGGAAACGACGUCUAAUGCCGAAUGCGACCUCCUUUCGCAUGAUCGGAGGUGGAAAGCUCCGGCGGAGAAGGAUGAGCUCGCGGCCUAUCAGCUAGUUGGUGUGGGUAAUGGCCCACCAAGGCGACGACGGGUAGCCGGCCUGGAGAGGGUGACCGGCCACACUGGGACUGAGACACGGCCCAGACCUCCGUACGGGAGCAG
rnacentral:rRNA from 1 species